AACGCGAAGAACCUUACCAAGUCUUGACAUCCUUCUGACCGUUCCUUAACCGGAACUUCUCUUCGGAGCAGGAGUGACAGGUGGUGCAUGGUUGUCGUCAGCUCGUGUCGUGAGAUGUUGGGUUAAGUCCCGCAACGAGCGCAACCCUUAUUCUUAGUAGCCAGCGGUUCGGCCGGGCACUCUAGGGAGACUGCCAGGGAUAACCUGGAGGAAGGUGGGGAUGACGUCAAAUCAUCAUGCCCCUUAUGACUUGGGCUACACACGUGCUACAAUGGCGUAAACAAAGGGAAGCAAUCACGCGAGUGUGAGCAAAUCUCAAAAAUAACGUCUCAGUUCGGACUGUAGUCUGCAACUCGACUACACGAAGCUGGAAUCGCUAGUA
rnacentral:rRNA from 1 species